UACGGAGGGUGCAAACGUUGCUCGGAAUCAUUGAGCGUAAAGCGCACGUAGGCGGUCCAGCAAGUCGGGUGUGAAAGCCCUCGGCUUAACCGAGGAAGUGCAUUCGAAACUACUGGACUUGAAUACUGGAGAGGAUCGCGGAAUUCCCGGUGUAGAGGUGAAAUUCGUAGAUAUCGGGAGGAACACCAGUGGCGAAGGCGGCGAUCUGGACAGAUAUUGACGCUGAGGUGCGAAAGCGUGGGGAGCAAACAGG
rnacentral:rRNA from 1 species